GUUGGAGGUUUUACUUUCUCAGCAAAGUGGUCCCACAAAGGGUUUAUAUCUUGAUGCUUCAUGUGAAGAGUGCAACAUCUACUGGCCUGAAUGCAAAAUGGGCAAAUACAAAUGUUUGUGCGUCACAAAUUGAAUACGCUGUGUGAGUCAGCGGAGCGUCAAGUCUGCCCCCAGUCCCACAAAGAAGAACAUCUUCUGGCAGCGCUUGAGGUUAGCAUCACAGAAACACAGGAAUGGCUGAACCUCCUAAAAGACGAUAUUCAUCUGCAUCCCGAAGGACCGCUCCCGACAAGAAACCACGUUCAACGGCAAAGAAAAGAAGCAACACGAGUAAAUCUCGAUGUGGCUUUCCACCGCUGGAGACAGCUCCUGAGAGUAAAGAGAUGCGGUUUGAUGCCGAGCUCGCAACUUUCCUGUUAGCCUGGACCUGAGCCAGUACAGAUGCAAUACCACUUCCACCUGUCUCAACAACGGCAGUCCAGAGAGUGAGGAGGCUCUAGGACCAGAAGUCCAGCCAAAACAUCACCAAUGAUGGACCAGCACCUGCCUUUUCUUCUGCAUCUGGCCUCAUCAAUCAUCAAUCACAUUUCAUCAACACCUUGAGACUUUCAUCAUGUCGUGGACUUCAGAGGACACCUCAAUCACCAGACUGAUUACAGACAAUUAAGGGAGAGGUCAGAGGUCACCGUCUUAUCCUGUUGUCCACAAGCCUCCUUGCAAGACUGCACAGGUACGUUACCUGAGGUGUCGUUGACUCACUGGUUGGUUGAAUCUACACCUGUGUACUUCGGCCUGAGCGGAGUUUCGAGCGGUUCAGUGUGUGAACCUGAGGACGGCUCGAAGGCUUGUUGAUUUAAGUGAAAACUGGAACUGCUGAGAUGAAGUGAUGAGGAACAAGCGCAGUUCAAGAGAAAAGACAAGAUGAGACUCGUCUGCAGACGUACAGGUCUUUAUGGCCUGAAGUUGAAGUUUUAAGUUCCUUUAAAGUCAUCAAUCCAAAGAAAAGUGACACAAGCUAAUAGGUUUUCUUCCAAAAACAAGACUCCACCUGCAGGAAUCAACUGUUAGAACUGAUUAUAUUCUUCACUUCAUUCUUUGGUUGGAGUUGGAAAAAAUACAACCAAAAUUAUACUUUUUUUUUUUUUUUUUUACAGGAAGUAAACAAGAAUAUUUUUCAUAAACUACCAAAUUAAAAUAAAUUUCAAGGUGAUGCAGUAAUAGUUAUAAUAAAAAUUACACCAUUGAUGACAUAAUAGCUUUUAUUACAUCCUUGGUCAACAUCAUGACAGAAAAACAGAAUAUAUACAAAUAUUAAAAUAGAAUAAUAAUGUGUUAAAAAAAAAAGGAGUAAGAAAAAAUAACUAUCAAUUGGCGCCCUGCUGCUGGUGAAGAGGUUUAAGUUGCCGACCAUAGCUUGAUUUUUUCUGACCAGAUAAUAAAUAAAUAAAUAUGUUAAAUUUACCAGUAAAGAGAGAAAUUCAUGACGCCUCUCCACAACUAUUAAUGAUUUUAAGUAACAACUCUUUAUCUAUACUUUUAUUCUUGUCAACAAAUUAUUGACAAUACAAAAAUAAACAAUGUCUCUUGAUGCUUUCUGACUUCCCUCCUCUAUCUGUGGUGUUAAGGUCCAAGUCCAUUGAUUCCUGCUAAAGAUGUGUACCUUUUUAAAAACAGUUAAAAAAUAUAGUUUCAUUUUUAAAGGUUCAGUAAUUUCCUCAAAACAAACUGACAAAGUAAAAUCAAGUAUAUCUACAGGAGGAAAUAGUGCAUUGGUUGAAGACUAUUUUCAGGGGCAGAUUAAUCUACAUUUUAGCUCUAAUGACUAUUUGGAGCAGACAAUGAAAAAAUAUGGAUUAUGUAGCUUUAUCCUUUAAUUAAGAAAAGGCCCAGAGUAACCCGAGGCAGGAUGAGCUUCACCGGCCCAGCAGUUAGUGGAGACGCAGGCUGAGGUCAAGCUUACUUGGGAGCAGGACAGACAGGAUGCUGAGCAGACAAAGAGGCUUCUUCUGUGACUGAAAAGUUCUUGGCUGCUGUUUGACGCCUGUGGUCUUAAGUGGUAAUAGUUCAAAUUCCCCAGAAUCAUAACAACAUUCCUGCCAGUGUGUUCACCUUUCUGAAAAAAACAGGCCAUCUCCGCUGAUGGAGGAGGCCGAUAUACAGGUGUGAGUGACAUCUCUUAUCGAGCUUCAGCAGAAGGAGGAAGAAGAGAAGUAGGAGGAACACGCAGGUAUCCCUCAGCCUACUGCCACUACACUCAUUGAGCCUCUAAUGUCUAAUCACAGCCUUUUCCUAAUCCAUGUGUUCCCUCCUCAGAGGCACCACCACGCCCGCAUCCUCUCUCUGUUGUGAUGGUGCAAGACACAGUAAAUGGUCUGUGCUGCUGUGGUUUCCUCAACAAGCAGAAACAGCAGCAAAUUAUGCAUAAAGGACACAGCUGCUGUUAUUCUUUCUUUUUUAUUAUCAUCAACAAAACCCCUGAAAAGAUAGGUGCCAACAAAAUAUGAUAAAAACAUAAAAAUUAAAGGAGCUAUUUGUAAGUUUUGCUAUUGCUACAUAGCUAAUGUUAGCAUUGGCACCUGUUUACUUACCAGUCCAGAGGAAACAUUGCAAGUUCAGCAUCAAACUUUAUUACUUUACUCACCAAGAGGUGGAAAGCAACCCUCUUGUUUUGCUUUUAUUUCUAUCACUUACUUUCUUGUACUGAAGUUAGCAUGCUAACCGGCUAGCUCAGCACUUUCCGAUACCGAGUCAAUGUAGUGUCCGGUCUGCCCUGAAGAAGUAGCUGCUCGGACGACGUCUUAUAACCUGUUGUCUUGUAAAUGCAAAAAUGGCUGAACCUCUUGGCAAGAUUGUUAAGUAAAGAGCUGUUUAUGCUAACGCUAGCUAUAGGCUAUCCCAAAGGUGGCAUCAGGACUUUGGUUUGGUUUGUUU